rnacentral:lncRNA from 10 species
GUUCAUCCACAUUGUGCCAAAUGGUAAUCCUCUGUGGCCAUGUCGGGUCUGUUGGUGGAGAUGCCAAACACGGAAGACAGUGAAGUGGUGGCUCAGCGUUCUCCAAAGGAAUGAGCAAGCAGAUGAGGCAAAGCACACUCUGAAGGGUGACAACUAUAGCUUCCAUAAGAAAGUUUUGGAGGCUCCUAAAAAUGACAGAUAAAUGAACUAACC